AUUGAACGCUGGCGGCAGGCCUAACACAUGCAAGUCGAGCGGAUGAAGGGAGCUUGCUCCUGGAUUCAGCGGCGGACGGGUGAGAAAUGCCUAGGAAUCUGCCUGGUAGUGGGGGAUAACGUCCGGAAACGGGCGCUAAUACCGCAUACGUCCUGAGGGAGAAAGUGGGGGAUCUUCGGACCUCACGCUAUCAGAUGAGCCUAGGUCGGAUUAGCUAGUUGGUGGGGUAACGGCCUACCAAGGCGACGAUCCGUAACUGGUCUGAGAGGAUGAUCAGUCACACUGAGACUGAGACGCGGUCCAGACUCCUACGGGAGGCAGCAGUGGGGAAUAUUGGACAAUGGGCGGAAGCCUGAUCCAGCCAUGCCGCGUGUGUGAAGAAGGUCUUCGGAUUGUAAAGCACUUUAAGUUGGGAGGAAGGGCAGUAAGUGAAUACCUUGCUGUGUUGACGUUACCAACAGAAUAAGCACCGGCUAACUUCGUG
rnacentral:rRNA from 1 species